AGCUGCAGCAAUGGACAAAGAGACACUUUGUUGGUGAUGGUGUUCUUAUACCAGCCAGGGGCAGAGCAAAUGGCAGUUCUUUGUUCAUCCUAGCUUGAUGUUUGGCUUGGUGGCCAAAACUGUCAUGACUUAAAAAAUCAA